UAGUUACAUAGUUACAUAGCUGAAAAGAGACUUGUGUCCAUCAAGUUCAGCCUUCCUCACAUAUGUUUUUGCUGUUGAUCCAAAAGAAGGCAAAAAACCUAGUCUGAAGCGCUUCAAAUUUUGCCACAAACUAGGAAAAAAUUCCUUCUUGACCCCAAAAUAGCAGUCAGAUGUCUCCUUGGAUCAAGCAGCUAUUACCCCGCUAAUUAGAAAUUAUAUCCCUGUAUGUUAUGUUUUUGCAAGUAUUUAUCCA